rnacentral:rRNA from 1 species
CAAGAGCGUAUGUAAAAGUUGUUGCAGUUAAAAAGCUCGUAGUUGAACCUUGGGUUUGGUUGGCCGGUCCGCUUUUUUGCGAGUACUGGAUUCAACCGAGCCUUUCCUUCUGGCUAACCAGUCGUUUCGGCGGCUGGCGAACCAGGAUUUUUACUUUGAGAAAAUUAGAGUGUUCAAAGCAGGCAUUAGUUUGAAUAUAUUAGCAUGGAAUAAUAGAAUAGGACGUUAUGGUUCUAUUUUGUUGGUUUCUAGGACCAUCGUAAUGAUUAAUAGGGACGGUCGGGGGCAUCAGUAUUCAGUUGUCAGAGGUGAAAUUCUUGGAUUUACUGAAGACUAACUACUGCGAAAGCAUUUGCCAAGGACGUUUUCAUUAA